rnacentral:misc_RNA from 1 species
CUGGCGUCAGGUCGCUUGUUGACACCUGCGCACAACCAUGAGAAGAAGAGCAACGCCAAAGGCAAACAACUGGUAGUUGCGCAGCGUUAGAGGAAAAGCUGGAACCGAGGAGAAACGAGACCCUCUCCCACGCAUUUCUUUUUCUCUUUUUCUUUGGUUUACUCGCACGCGAAUCGCCGUGGUGGUGCGAGGACAAACAAAUCAACAGAACCAUAGGCACGUGCGGAGAUCAUCACAACAAGAGCUGCCACGUCAUCCAGAGGAGUACUCGCCUCCAGCGCAAUGAUCCACUUUAUCCUCUUGCAGAACCGCAUGGGCAAGACCCGACUGGCCAAGUUUUACAUCCCGGUCGACGAUGCCGGCCAGGCGCAGAUCAAGCGUCAGGUCCACGUUAUUGUGAACACGCGCGAUACGCGCGCGACAAACUUUGUGUCUUACGAGAGCAUCAAGCUCGUCUACCGCCGCUACGCCGGACUCUUCUUCAUCCUCGGCAUCGACCAGGAGGACAACGACUUGAUGUACGUGGAGCUGAUCCACCUACUUGUCGAGGUGCUGGAUAUGUUCUUCAAGGAUGUGUGCGAGCUGGACUUGAUCUUCAACUUCCACAAGGUCUUCAUGAUCAUCGACGAAAUGAUUAUGGGUGGCGAGAUCCAGGAGGUCUCGCGGCCGGUCAUUUUGAACCGGCUACAGGAGCUCGAGAUCUCAAGUAAGUAGAUGAGGAAGCCGAGGAAAGAGGUGCGAAGCGAAGCAGAAAAAAUUUCACACCAGGACAGCAAGUUCGUGCAAAGAAAAAUUCACACGGCUGUGCUGUCGGCGGCAUAGCGCGUGGGCGAAUCUGUAAUCGUGUCAGAGCGAGAAAGCCGCAGCAGCACCACCGGUUCACCAACGCGCAUGUGAACGCUGCACUUUUUCUUCCCUUCGACAUGGUGUUUGCUUCCUGCCGCACUUGCGCUGCGCUAUCGUUCUCUUUUGGCCUGUGUUCUUUGCUCUUGAGGCCCACUCCCCUCUUUCGAUGGGUGCGCGUGCCGUGAAGCUGUGUGGAACGGUACUCGUUGAACUUGCGCUUCCCAGCGGAAGAAAGU